CUAGGUGGAGAAUUACCAGGGUAAGGAAUUCCAGACAUCAGUUCCAAGGGAGAUAAUUGAAUAUCUGCCCUCAGUCUGGCACUUCUUCUUGCCAGAGCCAAUGGCAAAAGCUGUACCCAUGGUAUCUUGGUUUCUAUUUCUAGCUUUAAAAGGUGCUUCUUUAUUUCUUCACUCAUUUUUUUUUCUACCUGACCUGAGCUCUGGGGGUGCCAGGAGGGAUGGAGGUUCCAUUGUAUUCCUAAACCAGUCAUAACCCCUUGGAGAGUUUUACCUGUAAAAUUAGUUCCUCUGUCUGAGUCUAUUGCAUCAAUGAUCCCAUAUCUUCAAAUUAUUUGUUCCAAAAAUACUUAUAUAACUGAUCCUGUAGUUGCUGAAGCAGUUGGAAAUGCUUCUGGCCACCCUGUUAGCUGACAUGCUGUUACCAGAAGAUAUUUCAGCCUUCCCACUUGGGGCAAUCUGGUAAAAUCCACCUGGCAUCUUUGGAAGGGACAUAGGACAAAGUCCAAGGCCUCCCUCCUCUGGCAAGUUUCUUUUUAACUUGCUGUUGUGAGAAACAACUGCUCACUUUGAAAAUUUAAAAGCUUUAUUAAACCUUGACAAAAAUACAACAAAAGGACUGCAUAAGGAAAAAUUGGCAGCACUGGGAACUGUCCUGAUGGAUACCCCAUGGCCAGUUCAUCUUCAAGAUGUAUGCUCAUUCUUUUAUACCCCUGGCCCUUCCCAAAGUCUGUCAGGCAGCUCUUCUGUGCCAUUUAUUGGUGGAGAUGCUUGCUUGUAACUGGAUUGGAGGCCAGGUGUUGCCAUGCCUCACCCCCUGAGCACCAAGCUUCCAUUCCCAACUGCCCCAUGCAAGGGAGGUGUGCACACCUUCUUUCUGCCUGUCUUAGGCAGCAAUACAGAGGGGGGGAAAGGAUCUAUGGGGAGAACAGAGGACAUCUAAACUAGAAUAACAUAACUAUACAUCACUAAAGCUUUUCUUAAUAUACACACAAUAGUCAUCCUUUAAUUGCAAGAGCCAAUCAUCUCAUUAUCUACCUGUAGCAGUGUCUAGGGGAUGGCUAUUUGUCUCGUAUAGUUUUUGGGGUUCAUUGUUUUGUUUUUUGUCUGGGACGGUUGCUGCUCCGGGAGUAUUGCAAUGAGUGGGAGCCAGGUUGGGGUUUCUGGAGAGAGUUUGGGGCAGGGUGUGGGGCAGCUCCUUUCCUUCCAGCCAGCUGUUGGAGUGGCCACACUGCUGGUGUUUCUGACCGGGGAUCCUGUUGCUUCUGUGGGUUCUGUCUGUUUCUUUUUGUUUCUUUUCCUUUGGCGCUGUGACUGGGCUUGCUGGCUUGCUUCUCUGCUGCUUGGGAGCCCAGAGCCGGUGCGUGCUGUGCCAGGAGUGGGAGCACCCCGUUCCCCACCAGGGGCUGCCUCCUCUGCACAAGUCCAGAGCCCAGGACCAGCCACUGCCGGUGAGGAAUGGCAGGGAGCGAUUCCCUGUCAGGCCCCACUGACAGACUGUAACCCAGCACCUGGACACCCCACAGCUUCGGGCAGGGCCCUGGGGUUUCUGCUGCCUCUCGCCUGCUGCCCCGGAAUUUCUCAUUCUCAAAGCUUGGUCAGAUGGAGAAGGAGGCUGCGAGGAAGAUGCCGUGGAACAGCCAGGCAGAAUAGGAGCCGAGGAUGGAGAGCAGGGAGGGCAAAUCCCCACAGCAGGACCUUGUGGAAGAGGCUGUUUUGAGUGAUUCCAUAGUGCAGGAAUCCAACGGGAAGGAAAAGCCCCAGAGAUCCCGCACGAGGAGGGGCUGCAAACCCAGCCCUGGGAUCUGUGAGGAGGAAAGGCCUGCCCUGUGCCAGGAGGGUGGACAGAGCUUCAGCCAGAGCUCAGACAUGGUGGUCACUGAGCACCAUCAAAGCAGGGAGAAGUCAUACAAGUGUGGGGAAUGUGAGAGGAGCUUCAGCCACAUCUCCAACCUGAAGAAACACCAGAGGAUCCACACUGGGGAGAAGCCCUACAAGUGUAGGGAAUGUGGGAAGAGCUUCAGCCGUAGCAACAACCUGGCCCGUCAUGAGAAUACUCAUGAUAAUGAAAGGCCUUCCAAGCGCUCUGAACGUGGGAAGAGCUUUAGAGAGACAUCCAAACUAAACCAGCACAAGAUAAAUUGCUCUGGGGAACAGCCCUAUGUGUGUGAGGAAUGUGGGAAGAACUUCAGCCAGAAAUCCAACCUGCUCCGCCACCAGAAGAUCCACACUGGGGAGAGGCCCCACAAAUGUCCCAAAUGUGGGAAGAGCUUCAGCCAGAGCACCCACUUGGAUGUCCACCAGUGCAUUGACACCAGGGAACAGCCCAACAACUGUGAGAAAUGUGGGAAGAGCUUCGGGAAGAUUCACAACCACUUGUGUGUGGAAAUCAGGAUAUGUGACAGCUACAAGUGCUGGACAUGUGAGAAGAGCUUCAGCCGGAGGUCCCACCUAAUAGUCCACAUGCGCAUCCACACUGGGCAGCAGCCCUACAGGUGUGAGCAGUGUGGGAUGAGCUUCAGAGAUCGCUCCAACCUGAACCACCACCGGCGGACCCACACUGGGGCACGGCCCUACCUGUGUGAGCAGUGUGGGAAGAGCUUCCCCAGGGGCUCUCACUUGUCCCAGCACCGACAGAAGCAUUGCCACGGUGAGCGAAGGAAUCCAAAGGCUGAUGUCACCCUUGUAGCUGAAAGCUGAGAACUUCUUUCAACCUUUAAAAUAUGAAUUAGGAAAACACUGGGUGAUUCAUCACUCACCCUAUUUGCCAAAUGCUUCUAAGAAGGAUCUGUUGGAAUUUUGCAAAGUGUGGAGAAUAACAGAUAGUUGAGGAGGGUUUACUGAAUUAAAUUUUAAAAAUGCCUUCUGCAUCCCUGUGAAUAAGAAAGGCCAAGGACUGAGCGAAGGAAAGAAUGUAAAAAUAUGGACUAAUUCUGAAUAUGCAUUUAAUGUUUUCGGAGAGGUCAUCUGGAAAGAGAGAGGACUGGCAACUGUUCAAGGCCUGGAAUUGAACACACUGAACAGACCCAUCCACUGCUACAGAGUAUUAAGAAGUCUGGAGAAGCAGCCUUUAUACAUUGCAAGAUUCAUCAAAAUGGGGAAGCAACUCUUGAGUUAGAGAAUCCUUUUGUUGAUAAAAUAGUAAAAGAAGCAAGAAAAAGGAUCUUAACAGUGGUACUACAGAAGGAAAUCAGUUUGACAAGGUUUGCCCGAAAAUGUGAUCAACAGAGCCAUCAGUUUUCUGGCACAAAGGUUGAAAUCAAGUAAAGUGAAUGGACUGUUACACCAGAGGGACAGACUGCAGUCCCACCUCAGCAAGAACAUAAAAAACACUUGCAAGGGAACAAGAAACCUUUUGAAACAUUAAGAAAGCAGUAAUAGAAAGGGAAAAAAACUGAUAUUGUACAAUCUGUAACAAAUGUGAAAUCUUCUCUGGAACCCACCCAAACAUGAGCAAAAGAGUUGUGUUAGAAAUAUCAGGGGCAGGGGGUUCUCCUGGACAUUGUUGGCAAAUAAAUUCUACUGAGUUACCACCCAGAAAGGACAAAGAGCCAUUUGAAGCUGCUCCAGAGCGGGACCUGGGGAAUCACCCAGAGCUCAGACUCUGCAGCCAUUGCCAGCGCCGGAGGGACCACCCACCAGAGACACUUUCUGAAUUUGUCAUCUCUUCAGAGCAGCAAGACAGGAACUCAGGAAACUAUUGUGACCCAUGGAAUUUCAUGGAACCAAGGGUCAAUUGUGACACAGUCAGGCCUCAUGGAAGCCAGGAGAACAUUGUGAUGCAAUGGGAGCUCAUGGAACCAAGAGUCAAUUGUGAACAUGGCAAGGUAUCAUGGAACCCAGGUGCCACUGAGACGAUGCCAUGGCUCAUGAAAGUGUGGCACCAUUGUGACACAGCAGGGCCUCAUGGAAUCUGGAAGAACAGUGUGGGGAAAUGGAAUGUCAUUGAACCAACUGUCAGUUGUCACCACAGUGGGGCCUUAUGGAACACGAGACCAGUGUGAUACAAUGGAAUGUUGUCAGGGUUUGACGCUGGCGCAAUGCCAGUGCCCCCAUGAAAAUACAUGCUCCCUGGUGUCUGCUGUGAGAUGUGACCAGGAAUAGAGCAAAGCAGGCUCCAACUUAGGAAUGAAGAAGAAAAAAACUUUAUUAACCUACAACUAUAUAUAGAAAGGAACACACACAGAACUCAGAAUGAAAACCUUCCAAUAACUUUCCUCCUCCCUCCACCAAAUUUCCAAUAUAUCCAUCCCUCAGAUCACCAACUCUCAGUCCACCACCAUCCUUUAGAUAAUCAAUUCUCAGUUCAACAAGGAGAGAGAGGUCCCUCUUGUGCCAUAGGCUUCCCCUAGAAACACAUUUGAGACCUCUUGUGUUUCCAUGUCACACAUGGCACCGCCCGGAGAUCAUUUGCCAUCUUGACAUCUUCCUUCCAUGCCCAGUGCUCUCACCACUGCACAUGCACCAAAGCUGCUUCUAGAGUUCCCCUUUUAAGGAUGCUUUGUCCAGUUCCAAAAAAAGCAUAGUCUCUCACUUUAGGACACCUGUCCCCCCCAAAUUCACCCCCUGGGGCUGAGGGGUCUCAAGAACAGAGAUCUUCUUUUUCUUCCCUGAAGACUGAGGGCACCAACCACCCUCCUCACCCGUCAUCUCUGUUCAUGCCACUCUUUCACAUCACAUCACUGCACUCUCUUGGCUCCGAGCCAUUGCCUCCCCCUAAAUGCAGUCUCUGUGUCACAGAAAAAAUGGUUCUGUCCAUGGCUAUGCAAGAAAAGUCCAGCCAAAGGCCACUCCAUCACCUCCUCCCGCCUAAGAUUCUUCUCAACUUCUCUCGUGGCCCAUCUCCUCUAUCUCAUCCCUAUCUCUCUUCUCAUUCAACUCCAGGAGGAUCAGCAUUUGUAAGGUUUCCAUCAUCCAAGAAAAGGGUUAAAAUCUCGGGCUCUGCCUGCCCAGAACUCCCACGCUGGCCCUGCCGGGCACCUUCUCUCUGCACCCCUUCUCCUUCUCGGCUGUGCUGCCAGCACAAGAUGGCAAAUUUCAAGGUGGCACAGGCACAGGCACCCACUCCCUCUCUCUCUGGGGCCGCUGCCCGAUGCCUCUCAGUGCUCCUCCACCCUUCCAUCGUGCAGGGGCCUUCACCUCCCUUCUCUGUCCAAGGCCCGGCUCCCCUCACCCGGCCGCAUGGCUUCCCCUCCUGCACCCAGCCCGCAGCCGGGCAGGGCAGCUCUGAACUUUUCACCCACCGGAACCAAGAGAGCUUCCCCUGGGAGUUCUCUGCUUUUAACCCCCCGUGUGCUCAGAGGUGAAUCCAUGUCCUCAGGGGCCACACCAGGUGCCAAUGUUCAAAUCUGAGCACCUGUUGGUUUCACCACAGCAUCCCAAAAAACUCACUUCCUCUCAAACCAGGACAAAUGUCAUGGAACAAACUGUCAGUUUAACAUAACAGGGCCUUAUGGAACCCAAAUGCCACUGGGAAAUUGCCACUGCUCAUGGAACCAAGUGUCCUUUAUGACACAGCUGGGCCUAAUGGAGCACAGGAGACCAUUGUUAUGCAAUGGAAUCUCAAGAUACCAAGGCUUCAUUGUGACACAGCAUGGGCUCUCAGCACCCAGGAGACCACCGUGAAGCAAUGGAAUGUCAUGAAACCAAGCGUCAACUUUGGCCCUUUGCAGCCUCAUGGAGCCAAGAGCCAGUGGGACAUUGCCAGAGUUCUUCUAACCUACUGUCCAUAGUAACAAAGCUUUGAUUCAUGGAACACAGGAGACCAUUGCGAUGCAAAUGACUCUAAUGAGACAAAAUGUCAGUUUAACACAGCGGGGCCUCAGGGAACCCAUGUGCCACUGGGACGUUGCCACUGCUUGUGGAACUCAGUGCCCGUUCUGACACAGCCAGGCCUAAUGGAACACAGGAGACCAUUGUGUCAGAAUGGAAUCUCAUGGAACCAAGGGUGAAUUGAACCCACAGACUGCUUCAACAUUUCCAGGUCUAGUGGAAAGAACACUUCAUUGUGGCACAGCAAGGCCUCGUGGGACCUAGGAGACCACUGUGCUGCAAUUGAACAUCAUGGAACCAAUGGUUAGUUGUGACCCAGGAGGCCUCAUGGAUCCUAGGAGCCUAUUGUGGGGCCAUGGAAUCCCAUGGAAUGAAUAGACAAUUGUGAAAUGGCAGGGCUUUGUGGAACCCAGGUGCCACUGGGACAUUGCCAGGCCUUGUCCUGUCAAGAUGGCAUUAUUACACAGCAAAGCCUCAGGGAUCCUGUGAGACCAUUGUAGGGCAAUGGAAUCUCAUGGAACCAAGGCUCCUGUGUGACAAAACACAGCCUUGUGGAACUCAGAAGCCACUGGGACAGAUGCAUGGUUCAUGGAAGCAAGUGUCCAUUGUGAAAAAUUUCAGCCUCAUGAAACCUCAGAGGCUGCUGUGAUGCAAUGGAAUCUUGGUGAACCAAAUGUCAAAUGUAAACACAGUGGGGCCUGAUGGAAGCCAGGUGCCACUUGGAUAUUGCCGGGGUAUAUGGAACUCAGUGUCCAUUGUGACAGAGCGCAGCUCCGUGGAACUUAGCAGAGCAUUGGGACAACAUGGAAUCUUAAGGAUACUUUGACGAGGUGAGGCCUUAUAGGACACAGGUGCCACUAGGACAUUGCCAGAGCUUCUGGAACCCAGUGUCCAUUAUGAUAUGGGACAGCUCAUGGAACCUGAAGACCACUGUGAUGCAAUGGAGUCCCAUGGAACGAAGUGUCAUUUGAGAACCCAUCACAACCCACAAAAUCCAGGAGAUCAUUGUGACCCAAUACUAUCUCAUGGAACCAAGUGUGAAGUUACACUGCAGAGCCUCAUGGAACCCAGAGGCCACUGGUACAUUGCCAAAGUUCAUGCAAACAAAGAGCGAUUAUGACAAAGUGGGGUCUCAUGAAUCCCAGGACACUAUUGUAACACUGUGGAAUCUCAUGGAACCAAGUCUCAAUUGCAUCAAAGAGGGGCCGCAUGGAACCCAGGACACCAUUGUAACAAUGUGGAAUCUCAAGGAACUCAGUGCUCACUCUUUGAUGGCAAAGGCUCAUAGAAUUUUGGAGACCAUUGUGAUCCAAUGGAAACACGUGGAAGCAACUGUCCACUUUUUCUGGAACUGCCACAUGGAACACUGGAGACAGUUGUGACACAAUGGAGCCCCAUGGAACCAAGGAGACCAUUUUGACACAAUGGUAUCUCAGGGAACUGUGUCAGUUGUGAAAAGAGCACAGCCUCAUGGACCCCAGGAGACAUUGUGGUGCAAUAGAAUCUCAUAGAACAAAGUUUUAAUUUUGAAACCGUAGGACCUCAUGGAACUCAGAAGAACAUUGUGACACAACGGAAUCUCAUGGAACCAAGGCUCCAUUGUGACACAGCAGGACCUUCAUGAACCCAGGGCCCACUGACACAUUGCCAUGGCUUGUGAAACCAAGGCUCCACUGUGGCACAGCAAUGCUCCAUGGCACCCAGGUGACCAUUGUGACAGAACAAAAUCCCAUGGAACAAAGUUUCAACACACUGAGUCCUCCUCGGACCCACUAGACCCUUUAGUCACAACUGGAAGUCAUGGAACCAAGUUUCAGUUGUAACACGGGGGGGCCUCAUGAAAUCCAGGGCACCACUGUGACGUAAUGGAAUCUCAUGGAACCAAGUUUCAUUUUUGAACACAGUAGGGACUUGUGGGACCCACAUGCCAAUGGGACGUUGCCAGGGCUCUUGCUACCCUGUGUCCAUUGUGAUGCAGCAGGGCCUAAUAGAACCCAGGAGACCAUUCUGACACAAUGAAAUCUCAAGGAAUCAAGGCUCCAUUGUGACACAGAAGGAACUCACAAAAUCUAAAAAACCAUUGUAACUCCAUGCAAUGUCAUGGAAAUGGCUCCACUGUGACAAACAGGGACCUCAUGGAACACAAGGGUCAAUGCAACAUUGCCAGGUCUAGUGGAAACAAAGUUCCAUUGUGGCACAGCAAGGACUGAUGGGACCUGGGAGGCCACUGUGUGACAACGGAAUCUCAUGGAAACAAUGGUCAGCUGUGACACAGGAGGUCUCAUUGAACCCAGGUGCCACCGGGACAUUGCCAGCUCAUUUGGAACCCAGUGUCCACAGUUAAACAGUGCAGCGCACGGAAACCUAGAGAUCAUUGUCAUGCAGUGAUAUCUCAUGGAAACAAGUGCCAGUUGAGGUACAGCAGGGCCUCUUGGAACCCAGGUGCCAUUGGGACCUUGAAACAGCUUCUGGAAACAAGGGAUCGUUGUGACACAGCAGAACCUCAUCCAACCCAGGACACCAUUGGGAUGCAAUGGACUCAAGUGUCUAGUGUGACAAACGCAGGGCCUUAUAGAACCUCAGAGACCAUAAGAUGCAAUGUAAUCUCAUGGAAUCAAAGCUCCCUUUUGAAGAGAUGGGGCCUCAUGGAACACAGGCACUGGGACAUUACCAAGGUUUGUGGAACACAGUUUCUAUUGUGACACAGCGCAGCUCAUGGAACUCACCAGACCCUUGUGAGAACAUGGAAUCUCAUGAAUCCAAGGCUUUACUUUGACAAAGUGGGGACUUGUAGGACACAGGUGCCACUGGGACAUUGCCAUUCUACUCUUGUCGAAUCCAGUGUCCAUGGUGACACAGCCCAGUGUCAUGGAACCAGGAGACUGUGGAGUGCUCCUGCCCCCAGAGGCAGGGAUUCUAUCCAGACAGACAGCACUGGGUGAGGUGCAUGACUUAAAGAAGAUUCCACCCCUCCACCCUGUGGGGCGUGUGCCCGCAAGCCCGGGAAAAGACACCCCACACCAUUUUGUCAGAUAAGGAAUGGCCCCAGAAUGUUCUUCUUUUCCUGCACCCUCAUUGGUUUAAAUCCUACUGCAGUGUUCCCACCUUAGUUCUUCCCUUAGUUGUCCUCCUUAGUCUACCCCUUUGCAGUCUCCUGCUCCUCUCGCUACUGAACCCGAACCCUAAACUCCAUCCCUACCCUGGCAUAUAAAACUCAUGACUCUACCCUCCGUGACUCACUAAAGGAUCCUGGAUGUUGCCGAACCAACACCCAUUCUAUUGUCGUCUUUUCCUGUUUGGUCAUUAGCGGCUACCUGAAGUCCAAGGCUCCAGGGCCCAGGGGAGUUGUUGCCCUCCUCGCUGUGGCAGAAUGCAGCAGGAGACCAUUGUGACACAGAGAUGUCUCAUGGAACCAAGGCUCUAUCGUGACAUAGUGGGGCCCCUUUGAAUUCAGGAGACCGUUGUGACACAAAGAUAUCUCAUGGAAUUAAGUGUAAAGUGUCAACACAGCAGGGUGUUACAGUGCACUUUU